rnacentral:rRNA from 1 species
UACGUAGGGGGGCAAGCGUUGUCCGGAUUUAUUGGGCGUAAAGAGCGUGUAGGCGGCUAGGUAGGUCCGUUGUGAAAACUCGAGGCUCAACCUCGAGACGUCGAUGGAAACCAUCUAGCUAGAGUCCGGAAGAGGAGAGUGGAAUUCCUGGUGUAGCGGUGAAAUGCGCAGAUAUCAGGAAGAACACCCGUGGCGAAGGCGGCUCUCUGGGACGGUACUGACGCUGAGACGCGAAAGCGUGGGGAGCAAACAGG